rnacentral:lncRNA from 1 species
CGUUCAUCACCAUCACAAUUGAAACUAUUGACUUGCUUGAUAUCUGGUUUGUGAGACGUCAGAGACGUGCCUUGUGGGCUUUGUGCGUUUUCUCUCGCGCACGCACGAGUGCGGCGACUUGUAGUUUUCGAACACGUGGGAAAAACCACGUCACACGAACCACCUUUGCAGGAUGAGGUUUUGUUCGAAACAGGGUUUUGCCAAACCCCACUCCGAGGGGUAGGAAGGGCGCAGCGGG